rnacentral:lncRNA from 1 species
GAUGAGAGAGAGAGAGAGAGAGAGAGAGAGAGAGAGAGAGAGAGAGAGAGAGAGUUUUGCUAGACUACUAUCAGUAGUAAACGAGCCGUUUUACUACCUAUUUGUUUUCGAUGAUAGAGCUUCCAAAUUGACGAUCGGCUCCGUUGAACAUGAUCUAUACCACUUGAAAUGUUUAGAAAUCAAAUUUCAAAUCUUUUCGACAUCAUUUGCCUAAUGAUUAAAGGGUUUCAAAAUUUGUAAUUUUAAUGGUCAAUUAGAGGCGUUUUCUCGUUUAACGGCGUAAAGAUAUCCAAAUCAAUUGAAUUUUUGUUAGAAAAUUCUUUAAACUAUUUAAAACAAGAUCUAUACUCUUGAUUUUGAUUACAAGACUCCUAUCAUCAUUUUUUAAAGAGUAUCCAUUUUCAGCCUUUCAUUUUUCUGUUCACUUGAUAGAUAAAAGAAUAAUAUCAAAAGUCCGUGAAAUUUGAUUUCUAGGUAGUUUAAAUGGUUUAGAUCAUAUUUAACGGAGCCGAUCGUCAAUUUGGAAGUUCUAUCAUCGAAAACAAAUCGGUAGUAAAAUGGCUCGUUUACUACCGAUAGUAUUCUAGUUCAACUCUCUCUCUCUCUCUCUCUCUCUCUCUCUCUCUCUCUCUCUAUAUAUAUAUAUAUAGAAUUAGGUUGGAAUACUAUUAAUAGUAAAACACUCUUUUUACUAUCAAGUUUUUAACCUUUGGAUGAAAAAUUGUAGGGUUAGGAUGAUAUUAGUCAGUUAGAGUUGAGUGGUCCCCCUAGGGUUGAGUGGUCCCCACAGGGUUAUAGUAUUUAAUCCAAUAGUUAGAAAUGAUGAAAAGGGUUGAUCCAAAGGCUAAAAAACUGAUAGCAACAAUGAAAUUUUGCUACUAAUAGUAGCCCAGUCCAACUCUCUCUCUCUCUCUCUCUCUCUCUAGUAUAUAUAUAUAUAUAUAUAGAGGUUGACUGGCGGCGCCGGAAAGGAAAGGGAGAUGGGAUUUAAUUUUUUUCCUUUUCUAUUUGUAUCGAGAAGAUUGGGCUGGUGCGUUGUUGGAUGUAGAAUGCAAAUUUUUUUUUUGAUUGGAUUGUGCUUUUUUUAUAUUUAGGCAAUUAGUAAUUUUUUCACAAUUUUUGGCAUAAAAUAAACACUUACAUAUAAUAGUGUCCCAAAAAUAUGUUGCUAUAACCUAAUUGUUGCAAGUAAUAAUAGUCCGGCUACUAUACUCUUAUCAGUACAAUCACCUUCGUACUCAUAAGUCGUUUUCGAUGAUAGAGUUUUCAAAUCGACGAUCCAUGCCGUUAAACAUUUUCUAGAGCAUUUAAAAUUUCUAGAAAUCAAAUUUUAUAAUUUUUUGACAUCAUUUACCUUACAAUCAAAAGAUCUCAAAAUUGAUAAUUUUUAAGGACUUGUAUGGGAUACUUGCUAGUUUAAUGGUGUAAAAGAAUAGAAAUCGGUUGAAUUUUUGAUAGAAAAUUCUAUUAACUAUUUAGAUAAAGAUCAAUAACUCCGAUCUUAAAUUAAACGAUCCGAUCAUCUAUUUUUAGGACGUCGUUCGAUUUUGACCAUUCAUUUUUCGCCCACUUUAUGGACUUUAUUAUGAUUUCGAAAAAUUACAAAUUUAAUUUUUUACAAGUUUCAAAUACUCUAGAUCAUAUUAAUGGAGUGAAUUGUUGAUUCAAAAGCUCCAUCAUCGAAAACGACUUAUGAGUAUGAAGGACUCUAUACUCAUAAGAGUAUAGUAGCCAUGGCCAUAUAUAUAUAUAUAUAUAUAUAUAGAGAGACGAUAUAUAUACAUACAUAUAUUUAUAUACAUAUAUAUCACUAUAUAUCGACAUAUAUGUAUCUACAUAAUGGUACAUAUAUAUAACAUAAUAUACAUAGAUGUACUAAAUAGUAUAAAGUGAGGCUACUAUGCUAUCGGAAGCACACGGAGCCUUCCGUGCUUCCAGCUCGUUUUCGAUGUUGCGACUUUCGAAUCGUCGAUCGGCUCCGUUAAACUUGAUCUAGAGUAUUUGGAGUACCUAGAAAAUAAAUUUUAUUAUUUUUUGAUAUCAUUUGCCUAGUGAUCGAAUGGGCUCAAAAUCAACAAAUUUCAAUGGCCGUAGUGAGCCGUUUGCAAGUUUAACAGUGUAGAAAUAUCCAAAUCACGUGAAAUUUUGAUAGAAAAUUCUUUAUACUAUAUAAAACAAGAUCAAUAUCUUUAAUUUAAAAUUUUAAUGUCAUAUUAUUACAUUUUGUAAGAUUUUUAUUUUCAGCCGUUGAUUUUGAGCCCCUUCGUUCACUAGGCAAAUGAUAUCGUAAAAUUAUAAAAUUUAUUUUCUAGAUACUUCAAAUACUCUAGAUCAAGUUUAACGGAGCCGAUCGACGAUUCAAAAGUUGCAACAUCGAAAACGAGCUUGAAGCACGGAAGG